CUUGAGAUCUCUCCCAAAGCGUCUUGUCCAAUAGCUGCACAUUUUUGGAAAUGCCUCAUAGAGCAACUCUGUGGUUUUCCUUUGUUCACAGGUCUUAUUCUUAGGUCUGUGUGAAAGUGCUACAAGACAGCA
ensembl:snoRNA